AGUGGUUUGAAUGCUCUCUGAAUGCACUGUAUAGCUUGGGAUGUAAGUCUAUAUUUUGGGAUGUAGGUUUAUAUUAUUGUUUGUACAUUAGAUAAUGGAAUUCUGAUCUGUUGCUGGCUAUUACAGGAGGGACCUCUUUACUUUAAUUAUUUCAUUAUCUCCCCCUCCUCUCAGCUGUUCCUUGCAGGGCCACGCUGACUGAGUUAGUGCCUGUGCUGUUAUGGGUUCAUUGGGCUGGUAUGUGGCAGGAAUCUUUGGAUCAAGGUAAUUUCACAGUGUUCAACAUUUUCCCAGGCUGUUAAGCUUCCCUUUACCUUUGUGCCACUCGAAGAACGAGAUAAGGAGUGACACAUGUUGCCAUUAAACACACACAGCAUCCCUGCAGCACCCAGGGCUGACGCCACCAGCGGGGCAAAGGAACGACUUGAAAGACACGGACUAUAAAAUGAUCUUCUGACACUCCAGUUUCCCAAAAGGAUCAGAUUAUUGCAGCCUGUCCAAGUGUGGUACGUGUGUAGUGCAUUCAUGGGUGGCACUGUAAUAAUGAUGAAAGGGGUUGGAUUUGUCAUUGCAGAGGUCCAGAGUUUUGGGAGGGAGGCCGGGCAGGCGGGGCUGUCGUUUGUCUUUAUCAGAUACAAGGAAGAUAAGAAGGUCCUGCUCUCAUGUACCAUCUGUUUCUGCUGGAGACCUCCGGGGCCCUAACCUAACCACACACACUGCAUGAAGAUGGUGCCCUUACCCACUGUGUGUGUGUGUGCGUGCGUGCGUGCGUGCGUGUGUGUGUGUGUGUGUGUGUGUGUGUGUGCAGGUGUUGGCAUUGGGAAUCAACAAUGAGUUGAUGACAAUGAGCCCAUCAACCCUUGAAACACCAAGAAUAUCUGUUUCAAAGUCAAUAGGAGAGCCUCUUAAACACAGCUGCAGUCAGAAAGGUUUCUGUGAGACAGGACUGCUACCUUAUUCCCACCUUCUCAACUUGUGGAGAACACAUAGUUAAACUUUUCAUGUUUGCAAUGCUUUUUGUCCGUUUGACAAAUAUAAUGUCAAUAGGCAGCGUUUUUCUUUGUUCCCAACAGGGAGGGGUGCAUGAAUCAUACAUUAAACAUGAUUCGCAUGAAUGCCUCACUCAGAGACAACAGUUCUCUUUCUUUCUGGGCAAUUUGCAGCAAGUGUCAAAACUGGGUGUCUCUCAACUUGAAUGCAAAUAUCUCUCUCUACUGUAUGCUGUAUGAUCAUAUUUACAGUUGACGUGUUUAUGAAUCAUUGACUUCAAUUCACAUAGUUCAAUAUAUGUAUUGGUCUUUAGAGACACAAAAUUGCAUUACCUCCCAGGGGAUUGGCUGCCAGUCAUUCCAUCUGUCUCUCAAUCUCUCGUUCUGUCUGUCUCAAACUGACAUCUGUCUGAGGGAACAUAUUGAGGACACAUCGAAGUAUGAAGUUUGAAGGCCAUACAAAGUUUUCACUCAGACAAUAAAGGGUAAGUAUUCCUUGUGAAGUAGCCAACAGGACAAUCAGUUCAUUAGGGCACAGAACAGAAAAUGUUUUAAAAGUUUUGCAACAGACAAGGAAAAUGUGUUUUUCUUAUUGGACAGGUCCAGGUAGUCGCUCCCUUUUUGAGUCUGUUUUCUUCCAUUUGGUGUCUAAUGAACACUACCCAUUGGAGAGUACUGCAUUACAAUAAAUGUUUGGGAUGAUGCACAUUUGGUUUGUACAUGGAGCUGAACGUCUUCAGGAUGUUUUUACUCCCUCUGGACCAACAUUCCAACAUGCCAGGAAUCAGGAGGGCCGCCUUGUGCAGAAUUACACCGUGAGGGACACAACCUGCCCUCAGAGAGUCCUUGCAUUCUGUUUCAAGGCCCCUCGGAGCAACAAUGCCUUAUGUGUGGGUUGCAAAGGAAGGGAGGGAAAAGCUUGGGCUCUGGUAUAGUAUCAGUAAGCAGCUGCUGCAUGAGUGACAAACUCAAGGGCUACCGAUAUGAACAUGGGAAAAUCCUAGGGAAGCAGGGGGUGAAGACAAAGCAGCAGAUGAGCCUCUCCACUCAAAAAUGUGCUGUUGUGUUCUUCUACAAGUGUGAGAAAGAAAGGAAAACCUAUACUAAGUAUCCUCUGGACGGCCAAGGGAAUAUUUACUGUCCUUGUCAAACUGUACCCCAGAUCUUCGUCUAUUCUCCUCUCCCCAGUUUUGAUGAGUCAUUGAAAGGUUGUUGGUGGAGUUCAAAAGGUAGGGUCAAGCAUGUGAGAGAGGAGGGUAGAAGGGGGGGGGGGGUAAAGAAAGGUAAAUUAAUAGCAGACUGGCUCUUCUGUUGUCGGAGGGAGGGUUUGGCUGGCUGGUGCUGUACAGACAUCCUUAUUGUCUGUCCCAUGCAGGUAGAUCAACACCAACUAUGUUCUCUCUGUGUAGACACCCAUAUGUCCCUCAACGCGCUGUCAGCAACCCCUUUGAUAGAUUCUGGCUGAAUGUAAAAAGUUUGCUUUGAGUUAUUAAUGAUGUUUUAACUUGUGUUUUCUAAACUUUUCAAGAGCUGUUUCUUUGACUGAAAUGACAGCCUCGUUUCUUCCCUUCCGUUUUCAAAGCAAGAAGAUGUUGAAGAUUUGUUGUAUGACAACCGAGAAUAGGCCUACAGUUGCACGUUGUUUUUUUUAUUCUCUUUGUUCGUAUUGUGUCUUUUCCAAAGCUUUUUGGGGCACCUGCUAAUAUUGUAAUAUCAGUCAAAUGUCACAAGGUGUCACGACUUCUGCCGAAGUUGUUGCCUCUCCUUGUUCGGGCGGUGCUCGGCGGUCGAUGUCACCGGUCGUCUAGCCAUCAUUGAUUCAUUUUCCAUUGGUUUUGUCUUGUCUUCCCACACACCUGUUUUCAAUCCCAUUCAUUACCUGUUGUGUAUUUAAACCUCUGUUUCCCCUCAUGUCUUUGUCAGAGAUUGUUUAUUGUCAGUGUUGUGUUUGUUGUAUAGGUGCGCGACGGGUCCUCGUACCCAUGUUUGUUUAUAUUCUGUUCUUAUUAGUGUUAUGGAGCAUGUUACGUGGACAUUCAUUAAAAGACUCCAUUUGACACUCCGUUUGACUCUCCUGCGCCUGACUUCCCUGCCACCUAUACACACAACUCUGACACAAGGUCUAGACUAAUGCAACUUUAUAACCGGUUGUAACCACCCCCACAUAGCAUAUGAGAAGGUCUGCAGUGUGUACCUCUGUCUUCAGCAUCGAUUUAUCUCUUUAACAGGGAGGGUAUUCACCUUGCCCCAAGGCGUGGAGAGAUGACAAAUAAACAUUGUUCUUUUGCUCUUGCCCUUGUUUUUGGACAUAAUGAGAUAAGAAAUCAUUUUCGGGAGGACAUCUUUGCAUAAAGAAUGUCUGAGGGAGUCUACAGCCCUGGUCAUUGGUGCCAACGUUGCAGUGUAACGUCAGUAAUAGAAUGGUGAGAAUAAAACACGAUUCUGAGACCAUCCCACAGGUACUUGAGCUUCCAGGGACAACCCUCACGAACUGAGUAGCUUGGUUUCUGAAAGACGUCCAGAGUAUGGAAAGGGGUUGAGAAUGUAGUCUGUAGCGUUUGCUUAUCAAUCCAUUAUUGCACGUACUUAUUCCCACUAAAUAGUCCUAUGGCUGGUGUGUUUAUUCUGCAGGAGCUGGCUCUCUAGAUAUCCCUCCUGUCCUCUCUCCGUCUGUAUGACUUGAAAUAACUUUCCAUCCUCUCCCCAUUGCUCUCACAUAUAAACGCGGGUCUCCUUUGCUGUGACGUUAUGCCAUUCCAUCUUAGGGAAAUGCAGUCGAAAAUAGAAUCAAGUCAAAUGAAUCGGUUUGAUUGAAUCAAACAUGGAUGCAUGUGUUCCUAAUCUAGUGUGUGAGGUUAAAAGUAGAAUAUGUGUAUUUUUUUUAGCGAAAUGUGCAGUGUUGGGUGGUCAUGCGAGCUGAGUUAUGGCUACCUGGCUUUCUGAUUUUGGUCUGUUAUUGUCCAGGUAGCCUAACAACUGUACUCUGUCUGUAUUCUACGAUUAGACGAGAUACAGGACAUUGUUAUCACCCAGUUGUAUUGGCACUUCUUUGUGGAUAUCAGCAAUAACAUGAAUGAUCAUUGGAGCAUUGCAUACAGCCGGGUAUUAUGGUAUGGAUAGAUCUUUUGUUAUUGCUUUACUCAGACAUCUGCAGUUGUUCAACCACAACAAAAUAACCCCAGGACGAGCUCAGUUGUGAGCUUUGACCAAUGCGUUAUAAGAAAAUGAUAAGCAUGCAUAAGGUGUUUUGAAAUAAAACAUGUAGUGAAUAUAAAUGAUAGCAUAUUUUGUAGCAAGUGAUGUCUCAUGACCACCUAACACACAGUGUUACUACAUGGUUGUUACUACAUGGUUGUUACUACAUGGUUGUUACUACAUGGUUGUUACUACAUGGUUGUUACCACAUGAUUGUUACCACAUGGUUGUUACUACAUGGUUGUUACUACAUGGUUGUUACUACAUGGUUGGUACCACAUGGUUGUUACUACAUGGUUGUUACUACACGGUAGUAGUAAUUUAGUAUAUUUUGUUACUUGUAUGCGACAAGCUAAGGAGACUUGGGAGUUAUAACAGAUGUUCAAGCUCAGGUUAAUGCAGGAAAUGGUUUGCAUUACUUUGGAAGUAUAAACAAAAUAACUUGCCUGAUAAGGUUCUGCUUUAUAGUGCACAGAUGAUAUUUUUGAGAUGACAAUGUCAGGGGAGUUCCAAAUGUUAAAACGUUGUAAUGAACUAUUUGAAUGGUGUGUUUGUUUCACUGGUGUAUUAUUUUGCUGUUAACUGUUUUUCAAGUCAGCCAGUGUGGCAGUUACUGAAUAGUGAACAAAUGUAAACAUGGAGUGGGGCAGAGUGGUUGAACCUCUUAUUAAUCGGAAUUAACAGUGUAUGCACGUGGUUUUUGUCAUUCAGCAUUUCUGACCCUGUCAUGGUUGAAUUAGGGUCAUCUUUUUUACAUCAACAAUAUGUUAGAUUUAUUAGGCCAUUUUUGGGGAAUAUUUUCUCUGCUUUUCAGUUGUCACAUGUAACACAAAUCAUUUGUGCUGUUUUUAUAACAUAAACAGUAAACAUGUUCACACCAGGUCAAAAGUGUGGAAUAAGAGAACAAAAUCUACUUCUAUAAAUAACAUUAGUAUAUAUCUUAAUUUAGGAAAUGAAUUAGUGAACUUUAUUCAUAUAUUAUGUUAUAAAUAAUUAAAUGGUUUAAUUUUUUUUAUAUUCAACCAACUGAUUCUUUAAAUACUAUUAACAAGGUUAUCAAUAACAUUUAAACAGUCUUUUAAAAAUAGUUUCAAAGAUAAAGCAUAAGAAAAGAACAAACAUAAUAUAUAUGAUUUGUAUCUACAGUCUGAAAUGAUAUAAAGGCAUUCAAACCAAUAACCUACAGAGUGGAUUUGGCUCUUUCUGCCUUUUUGCCCUCUAAUAUGGUAUGGGAGACAAAUCUAGUUACGUGUUCCGUGUAUUUGAUUGUUUAAUUAAAAGUGAAAAACUAAAUGUGUUUUUUUUUCUCAUUCGUGUUAAUUAUCUGGUUAGAAAGAUGUUAUUUGGCAUGGCAGAACUGCACUAAUUCCAGCUUGCCUCUGUUGCACAUAGCUGCAGGUGUGUUAGAAUGAUCUCUAGGUAUCCCACAUUUCACUUGUUUUUCAAAACGUGCUUCUAUCACAUGCCAUAAUUGACAUUCUCUAUAAAUCAGCCAACUUUCACACAGCCUAGUUUAGUAAGAUUGUGGAAAUGCCUUCUUUUUAGAACCUAUUUUUGAACCUGUUUUGAUAAUUAUUUUGUAGUAGUUUCAAAUGUAGUUCCAUGUAAAAGCCCAAUCAACACAUUAUGAUUGUUUCAUUGCUGCAUAAUUUAUCUGUAAACAUGCUCACAGGGAAGAUAAACAAUGUCAGAAAUAUGUUAUAAACUGUAAAAUUAUAUGUUUUUUAUGAAUUUGAGAAGAUAACAUAUGGUAUAGAACUUCUACAUGGUUUUCACUUCAAAUAUGUUCAUUUUCUGAAUUGUGAACUUAAAAAUGUUUAUUUUUCUUUUGAUUUCAAUAUCCUCUUUUUUCAGUCUAAUUUGUUUGAAAGGAGGCAGAGACUCACAACCUAUAGUUUAGGCUACUACUGUCAUUUGUGGAGCAUUGAAACCUUAAACUCAUGAAGUUCCUUCCUGAUAAAAAUGAGUUUAAAAGCAUCUUAAUUCUUGUUUUGGUCAGCAACCUACUUGUGCUUUUGGUAUGCAGCCUAGCCUAGCCUAGCCCAAAUGCUAGCAUUAUCUUCCCAUUAUUUAAAAACCUUUUAUGUAGGGCUGUAUCAUGCCCCUUUGAGUGAACGUUGAGUGAGACAAACCAUUGCAGUCACACUAUGAGGUGAGAUAUUUUUUUAAACCUUUUUAACCCCGAAUAAAGUUCAGAACAAAC